GGAGACAGAACUGCCUCCUGCCCCCAUGAAUAAAUACAAAUGUUACAGAGAAGGUUAGCAGGGGCCCUGCACAAGAAUGACACAAAUUCUUUUUUUUUUUUUUUUUUUUUU
ensembl:snRNA U6 U6 spliceosomal RNA